rnacentral:lncRNA from 1 species
UCCAGACUGGUGAAUGAAACAAAGAAAGGAAGCCCUUAAUGCCAUUGAUCACAUCAUGCUGUGAAAGUGGACCCUCGAUUAAUGGGUUUAGGAAUGUUCGUCUAAAUUACAAACAACUGUAAUGAUUCUCCAAGGACAAAGAGGGCACUCUGGUUCAAUGAGGGUGGAGAUACAGGCUACAAAGGGAAAUAUUAUGCAAGUCACACAUGCAUUUGAACUAUCCAAGACCACCAAACCGUAAUAAACAAGUGUUAGUUUACUGCAGGUUUGGAUACAUAAUAACGUUACAGAGCACCGUCUGACUUUAUGCAUACUUAAUUUGAUAUAAAAUGAAAUUUUAACAGUGGAUUCUAACCAUUAACGCAAGGGCAUAAUCAGAAUGGCGUAGUCAGAAAAUGCCGUGCAACUAGA